rnacentral:rRNA from 1 species
GACGAACGCUGGCGGCGCGCCUAACACAUGCAAGUCGAACGGAGCUGAGAGAAGCUUGCUUUUCUUAGCUUAGUGGCGAACGGGUGAGUAACGCGUGAGUAACCUGCUCUGGAGUGGGGGACAACAGUUGGAAACGACUGCUAAUACCGCAUAAGCCCACGAUCCGGCAUCGGCUUGAGGGAAAAGGAUUUAUUCGCUUCAGGAUGGACUCGCGUCCAAUUAGCUAGUUGGUGAGGUAACGGCCCACCAAGGCGACGAGUGGUAGCCGGACUGAGAGGUUGAACGGCCACAUUGGGACUGGGACACGGCCCAGACUCCUACGGGAGGCAGGAGUGGGUGAUAUUGCACAAUGGGGGAAGCGCUGAUGCAGCGACGCCGCGUGGAGGAAGAAGGUUUUCGGAUUGUAAACUCCUGUCGUUAGGGACGAUAAUGACGGUACCUAACAAGAAAGCACCGGCUAACUACGUG